UAUAUUACAUGUACUGUAUACAUAUAUGCGUACUCGAUGAAUCAGCUACACUCAAGGAAUUCCAUCGACGGCUUUGUUUACGAGGGGGACUAACCUUAUCGUUGGAUGAAUUUAGCUAGUGAUAAGAGACAGGUUUUUGUCCUCCUGCGGCAUUUAAGGUGGCACGUGUUAAGUGUCCUGGUGGGGCUCUGCCGUGUGUAUUAACAUGUAUGCGCAUAUAGUCAAUAUACGCCUUGGACGAGCACGUGCGUAGACACGCGAUAAUCAAUUUCAUUAUGAGACAGUGAUAACAGGUGGUCGUGUCAUGAGAACUUUUUAGGGUGUAAUAAUAUUAUGGAAUUUAUAGAUUUUCAUACGAUAAAUCGAUCGAGGGUUGUGGAGGAUAAUGAAAAAAGAAAAAACUUUUGGAUAAAGAUUCUUCACGAUGACAAGACUCAGUUGACGAUGGUUUUAUGUACUUUCCCUUGUCGAUGAUCAGUUGGGCAAAAUUUUUGACGUUGAAUAGUCGAGGAUGCUGGCGAAGGGUGGGAGCAAAAAAGAUCUGUAAUUUUUUUUAUCACAGUCGUUUCGUAAAUAGAUGACUCAUCAAAGUCGAACUAUAUCGUGUAUUGACUAUACAGAGAAAGCUCAAUAUUCCUAUGUGACAAGUCAAAUAUAUUUUUCGUUCGACGCCAUUGAAUUGCCUUUGGCCGCUGUAUUGGGACGUUCAUUAAUGAACAAAUAUGACAUAUAUUAAUCUUUACCGUUGAAUCAUCCUGUCUACUAGAGGUUGAGAACCAUUGGAUUUUAUGGUACCCGUGUAAAUUGAAACUUGCUACUUCGCGUAUGGCGACUUUCCACGUUGGAAAUACGACUCGGGGGACUCAAGUGAGUCCCUACUGGAUUAUGUGUACCAAUAUAUGUAUAUACAUAAUGUAUACAUGAUACUCCAUACGUCAAGCCAUUGACCUCAACUGGAUGGUACUUAAUUUUACAUGAACACUUUGUUCGAAGCUGAAUACUUCUGCAGGUAUUUUAAUGAAACUCUUUGACAGGAUUCCUAUGUGAGCGACAAGGCAUUCCUCCUUUUAUCGACCUUUCAAGACUCUCAGUCACGUGGUGUACAGAGAAGUAGCCACGUGUGUACCCGUAUACACAAUUACUGGAGAUUAGCAAGGAUCCCCAGUAGAGAAUUUUAUCGCUGUUCUUUUAUGAUCCUCAUUUUUCGUACGAACCAACAGAAGUCCUCGACCUAUCGACUUGGCUCGUAGAUGACUUGUCCCAUUUUCGAAAUACAUCCCUGAGGAUAUGAUAGCCUAAGGGCUUCUUGCUUAAGAACCAACCGGUGACAGCACGAAAGUACAUUCAUGAAAAAAAUGAGGCUUCGAUUUGAGCAUCCCCGAAUUUGUAUGGUAGUCUGAAGACACGUGAAGAUUAAGUCAUACAUAAUACAUCAAUUAACCCAGGAAUGGUUGCGUGAUUUUGUUCUCCAUUUGAAAAACAUUGAGUUGGGGUGUCUUAGACACUUCACGCCCCUAUUUCCGGGCUAAUGUAUUUACAGAGCCUUUCAUAAGACUAUGGCAUUAGAUGAUGUAUGUACAGCAUAAGUAUUUUUUAUCAGUUUACUGUUCAUUUUUGGUAAAAAUAUUUUUUUUAUUUGUUACGCUAGUAUUUACAUAAAUUCAUUGUUGGGUUUAGGAAACAUUUUCUUAGCUCUUUAAGGCUUAUCACAAACGUGGAUGUCUUCAUGAUUUGUUGUAGUAAACGCAACCGCAAGAUCCUUUUCGAAUAACAGCACUGUGCUACUUGACAUAAUAAUGUCGAUAUGAAUAACGCUUUACGACAUACAGGAUGCGUGAUUCAUUUAUUUAACUUUUAUCCCUUUAACCGUUAUGUAUACCACUGUCAAAGUCUCUCUAAUGUUCUUUUCAAUACUGAUAUAUUGACUAAAAACUAAAUUGGUCAAUAAAUCUUGUAAAGAAAAACAAAAAGAAGUUUGAAUGCUCUUACCAAGAAACUUAAAAACUGUGUAGAAUUAAAUGUAAAAAUUAUCUUGUCACACUCGAUUGUACUUAAUGACGAUUGUCGUUCGUUAAUUUAUCAUUUAACGCAAGAUACAACUCGGUGAAAGUAUCCAGUCAUUGUGUUAUGGGCAUAGGUGAGGCAAUUACAGGCACGAUUAAAUACGAUUAGACCAAUUAGAAAAAAUAGCUGAUCUCGUUACGCUAUUAACGUUGUAAAAUAGUUUCAAUUACGAAUAUUUCUAGCACGUAGUUCUCCCAACAGCAUCCGACACUUCAUUUCGUCUCGACUUCCUUGUAAAGAAUUAACAAGUAAUUUCUACCAAGUGCAACUUUAUGCGUUCAUCUUAUUUUAUGCCUAUCAUAGAAAUUUUAGCAUUCGAAAGUCCCUUUAAUCAAACAGCAACAUAACCUUCAAUUUUUGGUUCUGACAUUUUGCUCGUGCUGCAAAGCGCAAUCGUUAUAUUCUUUUGCUAACCUGUCGAGAAUUUUUUUCUGGAAACUUUGGAAUUACAGGAUCUCGUGGAAACGUUAUCGAAAGGUGAAACACAUAUCGUUCUUCUUACUACCGGCGUUUGUCCAUUUUGCAAAAACUACGAGACAAGAUGGCCGUCCGAAUGGCGCCAACACAAAUUAGAAUCCAGACUCUGCCCUUUUGAGUCAGCUUGGUGAGCGUGGGUGAUACAUGUUCCUCGUAUAAUUCGAAUAAAUUCAUAUAUAGAAAUGCAACUUCUAGGUAUGUAUGACCUUUCAAAUAAAAUUUGUAUAUAGUCAGCCGAUCUAGCAGCUGUAAAAACUCAAUCGCAAUUCAUGUUUUACUUGAUUGAACGUACGACCCAUUUGAAUCAAUUUGCGAUAUUUAACCCCCUUAUAUGUUCACGGCACAUGUGCCUUGUAAAUUACAAGAGCAUACAAGUUCCACAAUAUAUGCUUAUCAUAGCGAUAAACGUUUCCGGAUAAUGUGUUUUGCAUGAGACAUAAAAGCAAAAUGCUUAUCUUUUUUAAUCGUUACUGACAAAGAUACAUGAUUUUCCCGAAA